AUAACAAUUCCGGGCUCUAUGAGUAUGGUAAUUGGAAUGCGUACAAUCUAAAUCCCUUAACGAGGAACCAUUGGUGGGCAAGUCUGGUGCCAGCAGCCGCAGUAAUUCCAGCUCCAA
rnacentral:rRNA from 1 species